UACGUAGGGACCAAGCGUUGUUCGGAUUUACUGGGCGUAAAGGGCGCGUAGGCUGCAUGACAAGUCACUUGUGAAAUCUCUGGGCUUAACUCAGAACGGCCAAGUGAUACUGUCGCGCUAGAGUGCAGAAAGGGCAAUCGGAAUUCUUGGUGUAGCGGUGAAAUGCGUAGAUAUCAAGAGGAACACCUGAGGCGAAGGCGGGUUGCUAGGCUGACACUGACGCUGAUGCGCGAAAGCCAGGGGAGCAAACGGG
rnacentral:rRNA from 1 species